UGCGUAGGCGGCGGGGCAAGUCUGAUGUGAAAUCCCGGGGCUCAACCCCGGAACUGCAUUGGAUACUGCCUUGCUUGAGUACUGGAGAGGGAACUGGAAUUUACGGUGUAGCAGUGAAAUGCGUAGAGAUCGUAAGGAAGGCCAGUGGCGAAGGCGAGUUCCUGGACAGUUACUGACGCUGAGGCACGAAGGCCAGGGAGCAAACG
rnacentral:rRNA from 1 species